UUCAAAAUAUAUGAAAACUUGAAAUUUCGAAAAAAUAUUAAACUUAGUUUUUUUAAAUAUAGUAAAAGUUUAAAAAUAUUUAAACCAUUGUUUAGACACAUUUAUUUUAAGAGUUUUUCUACGUAAUAUAAUAUAAUACGUAAAAAGUAUAUUAUAUUUGUGUUACGGACUCUGUCCUUCACUUGUAAAGUUUUUUAAUUGUAAAUUAAGAAUUCCACACGACAAGAUAUGAAAUCGGUCGUCACAUUAAGUAUACGCACGUUAGGGCCAUUAAUACGGGUGUGGUAAACCGACGACGUUCCUGCAACAACGGAUGAUACGUGUUUAUGGGCUAAAGGAAAAACGUGUCCGGGUACGGAAAACGUGCACCAGUAAACAACGGCUGCAGCGUUUACCAUCAUCUAAGCCCCGAUUGAGGUGACAACCAUAUAUAUGGAGACCGGGAUCAUCACCACGGGCAAAACCUGAACUCAGUCAGAAGUCGAGACAGCUACACCACCAUCGACGCACGAGAAGGGCCAGCACCGUCACCUCGAUACAAACCCGUACAGACAUUCCUUUAGUGUAGUUAUAUCUGAUAAUUACAACUAAGUCUUAACCCAUGUCUGAUGUCACAGGUUCUCCACUUACAAAUACAACUUGUUAACUGUGAUUUGUUCAAAUUCUAAUAAAAAAUCAUUUGUUGACCUAAAACACGUGUAUAUUUCCCUAUCAAAAGGCUGUAUCUGAACAGCCCAUAACAUUUGGUAAAUUUUUGUGUUUAGUAUUCAAUGCAUAGUCUACAAUAAAUGUUCUCUCUAUGAUUCUCUAUCUUUUACAAUGUAUUUGAGCUGUUUAUAUAAAUCAACUUCUGCAUCGUUUAUUAUUUGACUUAUAUUGGCCUUUCCUUGUCACGCUGCUCUUCUAUCAUACCUUCCAAUAUGAUAUUUAGAGUUCUUCGUUAUAUCUCACUUAUCAAAUGCCAAGAACUUGAAUUUUUGAUCUUCAAUUGUUUAAUAAAGAUCUCUUCUCCUUCACUAUAUCUAACACUUCUUUGUUUGUCUUCAUUUCCGUACAUUUUUUUUUUUUUUUUUUCAUAAGUCAAAUAACUAUUAAAAUGGAGUAGGUGUUAUGCCAGUGGUGUCAUAAAAGGACUUGACAAAUCAAUAUUUUUAUUUGACCUAAAAUUUUUCUAUGCAAGAAAAGUUGAUAAUAAUAAUUAUUAUGUAACUAUUUUUCAGAGUCGAAUAAAGGAUAUUUUGAACGAGUUUUCUUUCAUAUUUGUAAGUAUAUUUAAAUUUAAAUAUUUAUCAUUUUUCGUACACG